rnacentral:misc_RNA from 1 species
AUAUUUUUCUAGAGCUUGUAAGUAAUGGCUCUCUUACAGAAAUUUACAGCAGGUAUCAUCUUAAGGAUUCCCAAGUGGCUGCUUACACUAGACAGAUACUACAUGGCUUGAAGUACCUCCAUGAGCACAACGUAAUUCAUAGGGACAUCAAAUGUGCAAAUAUAUUGGUGAAUGUUGGAGGAACUGUGAAACUUGCAGAUUUUGGAUUG